AAGAUACAAAGUCCACCACAAGUAUGACUACUUGUGCAAAGCUGAGUCUUUAAAUGCUAUCAAUGGUGCUUCACAUCUGAGGAAUGGACCUAAGGCCACUUGCAAGGUUGAUAUUGAAGUACCUCAGACUUGCAGUUUCAUCAUUCGCACUACUGGCUGUAGCCUGAGCGAGGUGGUUGACAUGGAUGCAGAGGGCAACCCUGUGUUUAGUCCUGCACCCAGCUCUUAUGUCUUUGCUGCUGAAAUGGAGAGAUAUCCUCUAAAGCUUGUGGUUGAUGGUGUGUACGAUGUGAAACUGUAUCCUGAGGACGGUGAGACAGCCACAAUUAUGAACAUCAAAAGGGGCAUCAUCUCCGCGCUGGCUGUGCCUUGACUGGAAGAAGACAAAAAUAAGAAUAUGAC